rnacentral:rRNA from 1 species
CCUACGGGAGGCAGCAGUGGGGAAUAUUGGACAAUGGGGGCAAGCCUGAUCCAGCGACGCCGCGUGAGGGAUGAAGGCCCUCGGGUUGUAAACCACUUUAGUAGAGAACGAAAAAGAGCUAUCGAAAAAAUAGCUCUGCUGACGAUAAACAAAGACGAAGCACCGGCUAACCACGUGCCAGCAGCCGCGGUAAUACGUAGGGGGUGUGCGUUAGUCGGAUUUACUGGGGGUAAAGGGUGGGUAGGCGGCUGAGUAAGUCAGAUGUGAAAUCCCCGGGCUCAACCUGGGAACUGCAUAUGAGACUGCUUGGCUAGAGUACAUGAGAGGUAAGUGGAAUUCCUGGUGUAGCAGUGAAAUGCGUAGAUAUGAGGAAGAACACCAGUGGCGAAGGCAGCCUCCUGGGCCGCAACUGACGCUGAUGCUCGAAAGCGUGGGGAGCAAACAGGAUUAGAUACCCCAGUAGUC